CAAUAAUAAGCAUGAUGUGAGCAACAAGGGCCCUAGCCCUGGCAACAGUUCGUUGAAUUCGGGGCCUCCGGAAUCGGCGACCACCGUGUCCUUCUCUAACAUGAGCGUGGAUAGGAUCAGCCAGCAGACGGGCAAAUCACUAGAACAGCCUUCGCCGUUGCCUCCGCGCCCCCAGGCGUCAAAUUCCAGGAAAAGGUGUUCUGGCAAAUCUGACGAAAAUGGCGCAACAUGUGCAAUCCUUGGCCGCUGCCAUUGCUCGAAACGCAGGUGCAUAUUUUAUCCCUGCCAUAUCUUGCCCCCCAAACCAUAACAAGUGCAACAAUGAACAUUUCACUGCUCUGUUACCUGCUUAGUGUUUGAGCAGCUAUGGUGGACUUUGGAAUGUUGGAGGUAACAAAGUUUCUGAAAUUGAAUAUGCUCGACAGGAAAUUGCGGUUGAAGAGGACAAUCAAGGUGAGAGCAAUCAGCAGCAAAUUAGCUGACAUACCUCCGGAUGAUUACUCGUGGCGCAAGUAUGGCCAGAAGCCUAUCAAGGGAUCACCGCACCCAAGGUACUUAGUCCCUACUUCUUUCCGUGAAUUACUGCUGAUUUCGUGUGUUUUUCAUCUACUGUAGUGUUGAUUACGAGAAAUGGGCACCGACUGUGUAACUGUCUUGUGCUUUGCAGAGGAUACUACAAGUGCAGCAGCAUACGCGGAUGUCCAGCCAGAAAACACGUUGAGCGAUCCAUGGAAGAUCCAACGAUGUUAAUUGUCACAUAUGAAGGCGAACACAACCACCCACAAUUAUCUGCGAAUGGUG
rnacentral:lncRNA from 1 species